GGAGUUUGUGCAUUACGAUUUGAGUUAUCAUAUUCAACGAAGUGAGGAAACUGAGUUUGGAACCACAAACGUGCCCACUGUUCCUCCAGUGAUACAGAGUCCUUGUCGCUUUCAACCCUGUGAAAAUGGCGGGACAUGUAUAGAGAUAGCCAGUAAUAGGACUUUCAAAUGUCAGUGCGCUGAAAACUUCUAUGGCAAGAAAUGUAAACAAAAAGUGACAUAUUGUGACGCUAAUCCUUGUAAAAACGGUGGAACGUGCAUAGAAGUACCCAGUACAAAAACCUACAAAUGCAACUGUACGAAUACAUUCACAGGCAAAAACUGUUCAGAAUCAACAGCCGUCGCGCAGAGUACGGACGCAUCCCCAACUGUUGCAAGUCUUGAUAGAGGCAAUGGAGAACCUCAAAAUGGAAAUGACUAUGACUUUGAGCUUAUAUUCAGAAAAACUCAACAUACGAGCUAUGUGAAACACGAUAUAAAUAAACAGUGGAUUACACACUUUACCGUCUGUGCCUGGAUACACACACCAGAUUUACAACAGAGCCAAAA